AAGGGCAAUAACACUUGAUAAUUUUGAGCUGCCCAAGAACUUCUCACAGAUAGUUAAGUUCGGCAAGAUUAAUGAAGAUGAAACAACCCUUGUCCAUCAAGAAAGAACAAGGGUUCCUGGAAAGCAUGCCAGAUCCCCCUUUCUCCCUUAUUUUAGUUCUGGUGGAAGCACUUCUGCUGGACCUCCUCUAAUUUUCAACAUCAAGCAUCCAUUUACUGGGGGUUAUUGGAGACGAUGUUGAUCCUGAUUUGUUGGAAGAAUUCAAUAAAUGGUUAUAUUUAGGUACCGACACGGUUUCAAAGAGGAAGAAGGCGCCUUAUACUAUAAAAGAUAACUAGCUCAACUCGUGAUUUGAUUUUGGAGUGGAGAAAGUUGAUAAAAAGGACUGGUUUUAUACUUUGGCACAUCCCGGGCAAAUCCUCAACAACACGCACAUUGAUGUUAUUUUAUACUAUUUGAGGAAGAGAGGAAAGUGUGAUCCUGAAAACAGAACACGGUUUUCAACCACUGAAUGAAUGUUCAAGACUAGAAUAGAACACAUUGAUGAGAGGUACAGUAAUG